rnacentral:rRNA from 1 species
UAAAGGUGAAGCCUGCCCAGUGACAAUACGUUCAACGGCCGCGGUAUCCUAACCGUGCAAAGGUAGCGCAAUCAAUUGUCCCAUAAAUCGGGACUUGUAUGAAUGGCUUAACGAGGUCUUAGCUGUCUCCUACGGAUAAUCAGUGAAAUUGAUCUUCCUGUGCAAAAGCAGGAAUAACCACAUAAGACAAGAAGACCCUGUGGAACUUUAAAACCUGCUACCACCCCCACUAACAACUCCUUUCCACAGGACCUACUCUCCCCGGACUUUACUGGUACGCAUUUUUUGGUUGGGGCGACCUUGGAGAUAAACUUAACCUCCAAAAACCAGACAAUCCAUCUUGACCAAGAACCACUUAUCAACGUGCUAAUAGUAACCAGACCCAAUAUAAUUGAUUAAUGAACCUAGCUACCCCAGGGAUAACAGCGCAAUCUCCUUCAAGAGCCCACAUCGACAAGGAGGUUUACGACCUCGAUGUUGGAUCAGGACAUCCUAGUGGUGCAACCGUUACCAAGGGUUCGUUUGUUCAACGAUUAA